UACGUAGGGGGCUAGCGUUGUCCGGAUUUAUUGGGCGUAAAGAGCGUGUAGGCGGCCAGAUAGGUCUGCUGUGAAAACUCGAGGCUCAACCUCGAGAUGUCGGCGGAAACCAUUUGGCUAGAGUCCGGAAGAGGAAAGUGGAAUUCCUGGUGUAGCGGUGAAAUGCGCAGAUAUCAGGAGGAACACCAGCGGCGAAGGCGGCGCUCUGGGCCGGAACUGACGCUGAGGAGCGAAAGCGUGGGUAGCAAACAGG
rnacentral:rRNA from 1 species